rnacentral:rRNA from 1 species
CAGCAGCCGCGGGAAUACAGAGGGUGCGAGCGUUAAUCGGAUUUACUGGGCGUAAAGCGUGCGUAGGCGGCUUUUUAAGUCGGAUGUGAAAUCCCUGAGCUUAACUUAGGAAUUGCAUUCGAUACUGGGAAGCUAGAGUAUGGGAGAGGAUGGUAUAAUUCCAGGUGUAGCGGUGAAAUGCGUAGAGAUCUGGAGGAAUACCGAUGGCGAAGGCAGCCAUCUGGCCUAAUACUGACGCUGAGGUACGAAAGCAUGGGGAGCAAACAGGAUUAGAUACCCCAGUAGUCCCUGUCUCUUAUAC